rnacentral:rRNA from 1 species
GAUGAACGCUAGCUACAGGCUUAACACAUGCGAGUCGAGGGGAAACGGCAUUGAGUGCUUGCACUCUUUGGACGUCGACCGGCGCACGGGUGAGUAACGCGUAUCCAACCUUCCCAUUACUGUGGGAUAACCUGCCGAAAGGCAGACUAAUACCGCAUAGUCUUCGAUGACGGCAUCAGAUUUGAAGUAAAGAUUUAUCGGUAAUGGAUGGGGAUGCGUCUGAUUAGCUUGUUGGCGGGGUAACGGCCCACCAAGGCUACGAUCAGUAGGGGUUCUGAGAGGAGGGUCCCCCACAUUGGAACUGAGACACGGUCCAAACUCCUACGGGAGGCAGCAGUGAGGAAUAUUGGUCAAUGGACGGAAGUCUGAACCAGCCAAGUAGCGUGCAGGAUGACGGCCCUAUGGGUUGUAAACUGCUUUUGUAUGGGGAUAAAGUUAGGGACGUGUCCCUAUUUGCAGGUACCAUACGAAUAAGGACCGGCUAAUUCCGUG